AUUGAACGCUGGCGGCAUGCUUUACACAUGCAAGUCGAACGGUGACAGGCCGCAAGGUGCUGACGAGUGGCGAACGGGUGAGUAAUGCAUCGGAACGUGCCCAGUCGUGGGGGAUAACUACUCGAAAGAGUAGCUAAUACCGCAUACGAUCUAUGGAUGAAAGCGGGGGACCGUAAGGCCUCGCGCGAUUGGAGCGGCCGAUGUCAGAUUAGGUAGUUGGUGGGAUAAAGGCUCACCAAGCCAACGAUCUGUAGCUGGUCUGAGAGGACGACCAGCCACACUGGGACUGAGACACGGCCCAGACUCCUACGGGAGGCAGCAGUGGGGAAUUUUGGACAAUGGGCGCAAGCCUGAUCCAGCAAUGCCGCGUGCAGGAAGAAGGCCUUCGGGUUGUAAACUGCUUUUGUACGGAACGAAACGGCUCUGGUUAAUACCCGGGGCUAAUGACGGUACCGUAAGAAUAAGCACCGGCUAACUACGUG
rnacentral:rRNA from 1 species